rnacentral:tRNA from 1 species
GGAGAGAUGGCCGAGUGGUUUAAGGCACUAGUCUUGAAAACUAGCGACGGGCAACUGUCCCGGGGUUCGAAUCCCUGUCUCUCCGCCA